rnacentral:misc_RNA from 1 species
GAUGAAGAACGCAGCGAAAUGCGAUAAGUAAUGUGAAUUGCAGAAUUCAGUGAAUCAUCGAAUCUUUGAACGCACAUUGCGCCCGCCAGUAUUCUGGCGGGCAUGCCUGUUCGAGCGUCAUUACAACCCUCAGGCCCCCGGGCCUGGCGUUGGGGAUCGGCGGAAGCCCCCUGCGGGCACAACGCCGUCCCCCAAAUACAGUGGCGGUCCCGCCGCAGCUUCCAUUGCGUAGUAGCUAACACCUCGCAACUGGAGAGCGGCGCGGCCACGCCGUAAAACACCCAACUUCUGAAUGUUGACCUCGAAUCAGGUAGGAAUACCCGCUGAACUUAAGCAUAUCAAUAAGCA